UUUUUUUUUUGAGGUUCAACAUGUGUCAUCCUAAGUUUUUUUAGAACGAAGACGUCAGAUGCGUCCGGUUUUAGAUUAAUAAAGCCCCAACGGCAGCGUACCACAUACCAAGUCUUGAUACAUCACCAAAAGCCAUGCCGGCUCGACCACCACAGUUCAAAUGAAACUAAACUAAACAAGCUGCAAAUCAAGGUUACAGGGUAGGGCCCGUACAGAGCACGCAGGCUCGUCAAGCAACCAAAAAGGACCGAAGUCAUGACUUCCUAGCCAUCGCAUACACUUGCACCAGUCGUUGUUGGGCGGUCUUGAUCAGCUCAGCAUCCUUGCGCCUCCCCAACGGACUCCACUGCUGCAAUAGGAGGUUGCAUUUGAAGAUGAUAUUAGCCGGAUGAUUUGGAAAACACCCUUCUAUAGUAAACUUGUUCCUAGUUAGCCAUAAGGCUCAGAGAAGUGCCCCAACACAACUCCACAUAACCCGAUAUGCUGGGCCCUUAAUCGCAUCUAGGAGGUUGAAAAGCUCGGUAGCCGAGCGCGGGUCCCAAAGGACACCCGCCGCGGUCCGGAUUGCACUCCACGCGAACCUCGCUAGAGGGCAACGGAAAAACACAUGAUUGGCAUCCUCCGGUUCCCCGCACAACGCACACGGACCCGUGGCCGGUCCAUUACGUUUGGCUACGUUCAAGGAAGUGGGAAGCCUAUCGCGAAACAGUUGCCAUAUGAAAAGUUUGAUCUUCAAAGACAUCCGCGCUUUCCAUAAUCCUGCAAUCACUGGCUAUGUCGGCCCUCGACACAACUUGCGGUAUAAGGAGUUCACCGAGAACUUCCCCGAGUUAGUGAGCGUCCAACUCACCGUGUCAGGCUGGUCCGAAAGACCCACUGGUUCGAUUAGUUGCAGCAAGACCGCGAGGCUUGCCUGCUCAGGCCCGUUGAGUUCCCGCUUAAAUUGAAACUCAGGUGGCGUCGCGGCAAGCGCAUCCGCCACUGACAACGCGGUGUCAACAGCAAUAUCGUACAAAUCCCGAAAUUCAACCCAAAGGGGUUGGGUACCUAUCCAAAGAUCAGUCCAGAAUCGCGCGAAUCUGCCGUUCCCAACCGAAAAUUUUGCCCCCAUGGCAAAAGCUGGUUUGAUCAACUGAAGAUCAUUCCAAAAAAGUGAGCCCCUUGCCCUCCCUUCAAAGAAAUUCCCGUUAGGAAAAUAUUUGGCCCUUAGGAGAUCAACCCACAACCCGAAGGCCCCUGGGUGAUUUUCCUAAGUUGAUGUGGCUCCUAAUAUAUAGAUGCAUAUCUAGGAAGUAAGUAGUACCUCAUCUGUACCAUGCCCAUUACGAAACAUGUACCAGGCGCAUGUAGAGCCAUCUGUUCCGAAUCUGCCACGAACAAGUGAGCCAGGUACGGGUGUCACACAGGAAGGAGUGGGUGUACAUAAAAAGAAAAAUGGUGCGCGAUGCAGUUUGAGAUUCAUUUCUCUGUCGUUCAAACACAUGGUCGAAGGAAUAUUUUCUAAAACAUGGUGCGGCCAAUGAAUGCAUAUGGCUGCAUGCCACCAGCCUGCUAGCUCCAGAAGAAAGGUUCCUGCCCGACGACUUAUGAUGUGGCCAAGUCCGGUGAAGCAACUCGGCGCCAAAUAUUAUUGUCCCGAUAAAGGGAAAAGUUGUAUAGUCACAUCUGUGUACGCAACGCAUUGGGGCUUGACGUGAUUCGUGAUAGCUACGGUUGGGUGGAGGGAUGCGCGCACCGCGCAUGUGAUGGCUGCAUCGUCCCGCAUGCUGAUGGAAAUACUCUGCCACGUCAUGCACGGGAAGGCUACUAUGAGGCAGAUACGAAAAAACAAAAUUAAAUAGAAAAUAGUGAACAUCAAACAUAGUUAUAUUUUCUGUUUUAUGUUUAUGUUUUCAGUUUCCACGGUACCAGAACAACGUAAUAUGCAUCAUAGUAGCACCCUAGUUUUCUCUCUGGCCACGCAAUGGAUACGAGCCGAGCAGACAAGCAUCUACCCGAUGUCAAAUCCAUGCAAGUCACGGCCGUCCGGCAGCAUGCCACUGUCGCUUACGCAAAGUAUGCCCUUCGUGCUGUCACGUGGGCAGUCGAGUCAAGGGCGCUAUCUCUCCUUCCCCGCUAGGUGGAAUCAUGCUAAGUCGAACAGUGCUAGAUUAGGCCCAGAAGCGGUCAAAAAAUUGUGGAUCCUACCACAUUUAAUGAUCUGCUAGACCUGCUAAUCAAAUGGGUGCUACAGUAUGUCAGUGAAGUGUCCAAAGGAGAGGCCAUGGUCAUAUGAGUUUUUUUAAACAAGACAAAAGACUUGUCAUUCUUCUUGUUUAAGAAGAAGAGAAUUGUCCGGUAUGACCAUCACCACCGUUGUAACGCAGGAUCAGCAACCACCAGAACAGAGCACAAUGCACCAGAUCCAGAUCGAGCGGCUCGAGCUAAGCAGCUGAGUAGGAGCAGGCCCUCCGCCUAUUACUUUCACCCAACACAACCAUAUAUAGACCUGUUAUAUUCACCCGACUCAACCUUACUUGGACCUGGUACAUGUUGGAAAUAUGCCCUAGAGGCAAUAAUAAAAGUAUUAUUAUUAUAUUUCCUUGUUCAUGAUAAUUGUCUUUUAUUCAUGCUAUAACUGUAUUAUCCGGAAAUCGUAAUACACGUGUGAAUACAUAGACCACAAUAUGUCCCUAGUGAGCCUCUAGUUGACUAGCUCGUUGUGAUCAACAGAUAGUCAUGGUUUCCUGCCUAUGGACAUUGGAUGUCGUUGAUAACGGGAUCACAUCAUUAGGAGAAUGAUGUGAUGGACAAGACCCAAUCCUAAGACUAGCACAAAGAUCGUGUAGUUCGUUUGCUAGAGCUUUGCCAAUGUCAAGUAUCUCUUCCUUUGACCAUGAGAUCGUGUAACUCCUGGAUACCGUAGGAGUGCUUUGGGUGUAUCAAACGUCACAACGUAACUGGGUGACUAUAAAGGUGCACUACAGGUAUCUCCGAAAGUAUCUAUUGUUUUAUGCGGAUCGAGACUGGAAUUUGUCACUCCGUGUAAACGGAGAGGUAUCUCUGGGCCCACUCGAUAGGACAUCAUCAUUUGCGCAAAUGUGACCAAGGAGUUGAUCACGGGAUGAUGUGUUACGGAACGAGUAAAGAGACUUGCCGGUAACGAGAUUGAACAAGGUAUCGGUAUACCGACGAUCGAAUCUCGGGCAAGUAACAUACCGCUAGACAAAGGGAAUUGUAUACGGGAUCAAUUGAGUCCUUGACAUCGUGGUUCAUCCGAUGAGAUCAUCGUGGAACAUGUGGGAGCCAUCAUGGGUAUCCAGAUCCCGCUGUUGGUUAUUGACCGGAGAACGUCUCGGUCAUGUCUGCAUGUCUCCCGAACCCGUAGGGUCUACACACUUAAGGUUCGAUGACGCUAGGGUUAUAAAGGAAGCUUGUAUGUGGUUACCGAAUGUUGUUCGGAGUCCCGGAUGAGAUCCCGGACGUCACGAGGAGUUCCGGAAUGGUCCGGAGGUAAAGAUUUAUAUAUAGGAAGUCCUGUUUCGGUCAUCGGGACAAGUUUCGGGGUCAUCGGUAUUGUACCGGGACCACCGGAAGGGUCCCGGGGGCCCACCGGGUGGGGCCACCUGCCCCGGGGGGCCACAUGGGCUGUAGGGGGUGCGCCUUGGCCUACAUGGUCCAAGGGCACCAGCCCCAAGAGGCCCAUGCGCCAAGAGAAGAGAAAAAGGGGAGAGUCCUAAAGGGGGAAGGCACCUCCGAGGUGCCUUGGGGAGGAUGGACUCCUCCCCAUCCUUAGCCGCACCCCUUCCUUGGAGGAGGGGGCAAGGCUGCGCCCUCCCCCUCUCCCUUGGCCCUAUAUAUAGUGGGGAAAAGGAGGAGCAAUCAGACCUAAGGCCUUUGGUUGCCUCCCUCUCCCUCCCGUGACACAUCUCCUCUCCCGUAGGUGCUCGGCGAAGCCCUGCAGGAUUGCCACGCUCCUCCAUCACCACCACGCCGUUGUGCUGCUGCUGGAUGGAGUCUUCCUCAACCUCUCCCUCUCUCCUUGCUGGAUCAAGGCGUGUGAGACAUCGUCGAGCUGUACGUGUGUUGAACGCGGAGGUGCCGUCCGUUCGGCACUAGGAUCAUCGGUGAUCUGAAUCACGACGAGUACGACUCCAUCAACCCCGUUCACUUGAACGCUUCCGCUUAGCGAUCUACAAGGGUAUGUAGAUGCACUCCCCUUUCUACUCGUUGCUGGUCUCUCCAUAGAUAGAUCUUGGUGUUGCGUAGGAAAAUUUUUGAAUUUCUGCUACGUUACCCAACAGUGGCAUCAUGAGCUAGGUCUAUUGCGUAGAUUCUUUGCACGAGUAGAACACAAAGUAGUUGUGGGCGUUGAUGUUGUUCAAUAUGCUUACCGUUACUAGUCCAAUCUUGUUUCGACGGUAUUGUGGGAUGAAGCGGCCCGGACCGACCUUACACGUACUCUUACGUGAGACAGGUUCCACCGAUUGACAUGCACUUGGUGCAUAAGGUGGCUAGCGGGUGCCUGUCUCUCCCACUUUAGUCGGACCGGAUUCGAUGAAAAGGGUCCUUAUGAAGGGUAAAUAGCAAUUGGCAUAUCACGUUGUGGUUCAUGCGUAGGUAAGAAACGUUCUUGCUAGAAACCCAUAGCAGCCACGUAAAACAUGCAAACAACAAUUAGAGGACGUCUAACUUGUUUUUGCAGGGUAUGCUAUGUGAUGUGAUAUGGCCAAAAGGAUGUGAUGAAUGAUAUAUGUGAUGUAUGAGAUUGAUCAUGUUCUUGUAAUAGGAUUCACGACUUGCAUGUCGAUGAGUAUGACAACCGGCAGGAGCCAUAGGAGUUGUCUUUAUUUAUUGUAUGACCUGCGCGUCAUUGAAGAACGCCAUGUAAACUACUUUACUUUAUUGCUAAACGCGUUAGUCAUAGAAGUAGAAGUAGUCGUUGGCGUGACAACUUCAUGAAGAUACGAUGAUGGAGAUCAUGAUGAUGGAGAUCAUGGUGUCAUGCCGGUGACAAGAUGAUCAUGGAGCCCCGAAGAUGGAGAUCAAAAGGAGCAAAAAUGAUAUUGGCCAUAUCAUGUCACUAUUUGAUUGCAUGUGAUGUUUAUCAUGUUUAUGCAUCUUGUUUACUUAGGACGACGGUAGUAAAUAAGAUGAUCCCUUACAAAAUUUCAAGAAGUGUUCUCCCCUAACUGUGCACCGUUGCUACAGUUCGUCGCUUCUAAGCACCACGUGAUGAUCGGGUGUGAUGGAUUCUUACGUUCACAUACAACGGGUGUAAGACAGUUUUACACAGCGAAAACACUUAGGGUUAACUUGACGAGCCUAGCAUGUGCAGACAUGGCCUCGGAACACGGAGACCGAAAGGUCGAGCAUGAGUCGUAUAGGAGAUACGAUCAACAUGAAGAUGUUCACCGAUGAUGACUAGUCCGUCUCACGUGAUGAUCGGACACGGCCUAGUUGACUCGGAUCAUGUGAUCACUUAGAUGACCAGAGGGAUGUCUAUCUGAGUGGGAGUUCAUAAGAUGAACUUAAUUAUCCUGAACAUAGUCAAAAGACCCUUUGCAAAUUAUGUCAUAGCUCGCGCUAUAGUUCUACUGUUUAGAUAUGUUCCUAGAGAAAAUUAUAGUUGAAAGUUGAUAGUAGCGAUUAUGCGAUCAGUAGAAAGCUUAUGUCCUUAAUGCACCGCUCAGUGUGCUGAACCCCAACGUCGUUUGUCGAUGUUGCGAACAUUGGACAUACACGUUUUGAUAACUACGUGAUAGUUCAGUUAAAUGGUUUAAGUAGAGGCACCAAAGACGUUUUCGAAACGUCGCGGAACAUAUGAAAUGUUUCGAGGGCUGAAAUUAGGAUUUCAGGCUCGUGCCCACGUCAAGAGGUUUGAGACCUCCGAUGAUUUUCUUAGCCUGCAAACUAAGGAGAGAAGCUCAAUUGUUGAGCUUGUGCUCAGAUUGUCUGAGUACAACAAUCACUUGAAUCAAGUGGGAGUUGAUCUUCCAGAUGAAAUAGUGAUAGUUUCUCCGAAGUCAUUACCACCAAGCUGCUAGAGCUUCGUGAUGAACUAUAACAUAUCAGGGAUAGAUAAGAUGAUCCUUGAGGUAUUCACGAUGUUUGACACCGUGAAAGUAGAAAUCAAGAAGGAGCAUCAAUUGUUGAUGGUUGGUGAAACCACUAGUUUCAAGAAGGGCAAGGGCAAGAAGGGAUACUUCAUGAAACGGCAAAUCAGCUGCUGCACCAAUGAAGAAACCCGAGGUUGAACCCAAAUCCGAGACUAAGUGCUUCUGUAAUAAGGGGAACAACCACUGGAGCAGGAUUACCCUAGAUACUUGGUAGAUGAGAAGGCUGGCAAGGUCGAUAGAAGUAUAUUGGAUAUACAUUGUGUUAAUGUGUACUUUACUAGUACUCCUAGUAGCACCAGGGUAUUAGAUACCGGUUCGGUUGCUAAGUGUUAGUAACUCGAAAUAAAAGCUACGGAAUAAAACGGAGACUAGCUAAAGGUGAGCUGACGAUAUGUGUUGGAAGUGUUUCCAAGUUUGAUGUGAUCAAACAUCGCACGCUCCCUCUACCAUCAAGAUUAGUAUUAAACCAGAAUAAUUAUCAUUUGGUGUUUGCGUUGAGCAUAGACAUGAUUGGAUUAUGUCUAUCGCAAUACGGUUAUUCAUUUAAGGAGAAUAAUGGUUACUCUAUUUAUUUGAAUAAUACCUUCGAUGGUCAUGCACCUAAAGGAAUGGUUUAUUGAAUCUCGAUCGUAGUGAUACACAUUUUCAUGCCAAAAGAUAUAAGAUAGUAAUGAUAGUACCACUUACUUGUGGCACUGCCAUGUAAGUCAUAAUGGUAUAAAACGCAUGAAGAAGCUCCAUGUUGAUGGAUCUUUGGACUCACUCGUUUUGAAAAGUUUGAGACAUGCGAACCAUGUCUAUUGGUGUAUAUGCAUGAAGAAACUCCAUGCAAAUGGACCGUUUGAACUCACUUGAUUUUGAAUCACUUGAGAUAUGCAAAUCAUACCUAUUAGGCAAGAUGACUGAAAAGCCUCGGUUUCAGUAAAAUGGAACAAGAUAGCAACUUAUUGGAAGCAACACAUUUUGAUGUGUGCAGUCCAAUGAGUGCUGAGGCAUGCAGUGAAUAUCGUUAUGUUCUUACUUCACAGAUGAUUCAAGUAGAUGUUGAAUAUAUUUACUUGAUGAAACACAAGUCUGAAUUAUUGAAUGGUUCAAGUAAUUUCAGAGUGAAGUAGAAGAUCAUUGUGACAAGAGGAUAAAAUGUCUAUGAUAUGAUCAUAGAGAUGAAUAUCUGAGUUACAAGUUUUGGCACACAAUUAAGACAUUGGGGAAAUUGUUUCACAAUUAAAUACCGCCUGGAACACCAUAGUGUGAUGGUGUGUCCGAACAUCAUAGUUGCACCCUAUUGGAUAUGGUGCGUACCAUGAUGUCUCUUAUCGAAUUACCACUAUCGUUCACGGGUUAGGUAUUAGAGACAACCACAUUCACUUUAAAUAGGGCACCACGUAACUCCGAUGAGAUGACACCGUAUGAAUUAUGGUUUAGAGAAACCUAAGUUGUCGUUUCUUAAAAGUUUGGGGCUGCGACGCUUAUAUGAAAAAGUUUCAGGUUGAUAAGCUCGAACCCAAAGCGGAUAAAAUGCAUCUUCAUAGGACACCCAAAACAGUUGGGUAUACCUCCAGUCUCAGAUCCGAAAGCAAUAAGGGAUUGUUUCGAGAAUCAGGUCCUUUCUCGAGGAAAAGUUUCUCUCGAAAGAAUUGAGUGGGAGGAUGGUGGAGACUUGAUGAGGUUAUUGAACCGUCUCUUCAACUAGUGUGUGACAGGGCACAGGGAGUUGUUCCUGUGGCACCUACACCAAUUGAAGUGGAAGCUUAUGAUAUUGAUCAUGAAACUUCGGAUCAAGUCACUCCCAAACCUCGUAGGAUGACAAGGAUGCGUACUACUUCAGAGUGGUACGUAAUCCUGUCUUGGAAGUCAUGUUGCUGGACAACAAUGAACCUACGAGCUAUGGAGAAGCGAUGGUGGGCCCGGAUUCUAAUAAAUGGCUCGAGGCUAUAAAAUCCGAGAACGGAUCCAUGGACUUUGGUGGACUUGCCCGAUGAUCGGCAAGCCAUUAAGAUAAAUGGAUCUUUAAGAAGAAGACGGACGUGGAUGGUAAUGUCACCGUCCAUGAAGCUCGACUUGUGGCGAAAAGUUUUUCACAAGUUCAAGGAGUUGACUACGAUGAGAUUUUCUCAUCCGUAGCGAUGCUUAAAGUCCGUCGGAUUCAUGUUAGCAUUAGCUGUAUUUAUGAAAUCUGGCAGAUGGAUAUCAAAACGAGUUUCCUUACCAGUUUUCGUAAGGAAAGGUUGUAUGUAAUACAAUCAGAAAGUUUUUGUCGAUCCUAAGGAUGCUAAAAGGUAUGCUAGCUCCAGCGAUCCUUCUAAGGACUGGAGUGAGCAUCUCGGAGUUGGAAUGUAUGCUUUGAUGAUGAUCAAAGAUUUUGGGUUUGUACAAAGUUUAUGAGAAACUUGUAUUUCCAAAGAAGUGAGUGGGAGCACUAUAGAAUUUCUGAUGAGUAUAUGUUGUUGACAUAUUGUUGAUCAGAAAUGACGUAGAAUUUCUGGAAAGCAUAUAGGGUUAUUUUGAAAGUGUUUUUCAAUGGAAAGCCUGGAUUAAGCUACCUGAACAUUGAGCAUCAAGAUCUAUAAGGAUAGAUCAAAAUGCUUAAUAAUACUUUCAAAUGAGCACAUACCUUGACAUGAUCUUGAAGGUGUUCAAGAUGGACCAGUCAAAGAAGGAGUUCUUGCCUGAGUUGUAAGGUACGAAGUUAAGACUUAAAGCUCGACCACGGCAGAAUAGAGAGAAAGGACGAAGGUCGUCCCCUAUGCUUAAGACAUAGGCUCUUCAGUAUGCUAUGUUGUGUACCGCACCUAAAGUGUGCCUUGCCAUGAGUCAGUCAAGGGGUACAAGAGUGAUCCAAGAAUGGAUCAUAGGACAGCGGUCAAAGUUAUCCUUAGUAACUAGUGGACUAAGAAAUUUUCUCGAUUAUGGAGGUGGUAAAAGAGUUCGUCGUAAAGGUUACGACGAUGCAAGCUUGACACCUAUCCGGAUAGCUCUGAGUAGAGAGACCGGAUACAUAUAAUGGAGCAAUAAUUUAGAAUAGCUCCAAGUAGAACAGUUGUUUGGAAUAGCUCCAAAUAGAGCGUGGUAGCUGCAUCUAGGAGAUGACAUAGAGAUUUGUAAAGCACACACGGAUCUGAAAGGUUCAGACCCGUUGACUAAAACCUCUCUCACAAGCAACAUGAUCAAACAUAAAACUCAUUGAGUGUUAAUCACAUAGUGAUGUGAACUAGACUAAUGACUCUAGUAAACUAUUGGGUAUUAGUCACAUGGCGAUGUGACCUGUGAGUGUUAAUCACAUGGCGAUGUGAACUAGAUUAUUGACUCUAGUGCAAGUGGGAGACUGUUGGAAAUAUGCCCUAGAGGCAAUAAUAAAAGUAUUAUUAUUAUAUUUCCUUGUUCAUGAUAAUUGUCUUUUAUUCAUGCUAUAACUGUAUUAUCCGGAAAUCGUAAUACACGUGUGAAUACAUAGACCACAAUAUGUCCCUAGUGAGCCUCUAAUUGACUAGCUCGUUGUGAUCAACAGAUAGUCAUGGUUUCCUGGCUAUGGACAUUGGAUGUCGUUGAUAACGGGAUCACAUCAUUAGGAGAAUGAUGUGAUGGACAAGACCCAAUCCUAAGACUAGCACAAAGAUCGUGUAGUUCGUUUGCUAGAGCUUUGCCAAUGUCAAGUAUCUCUUCCUUUGACCAUGAGAUCGUGUAACUCCUGGAUACCGUAGGAGUGCUUUGGGUGUAUCAAACGUCACAACGUAACUGGGUGACUAUAAAGGUGCACUACAGGUAUCUCCAAAAGUAUCUAUUGUUUUAUGCGGAUCGAGACUGGAAUUUGUCACUCCGUGUAAACGGAGAGGUAUCUCUGGGCCCACUCGGUAGGACAUCAUCAUUUGCGCAAAUGUGACCAAGGAGUUGAUCACGGGAUGAUGUGUUACGGAACGAGUAAAGAGACUUGCCGGUAACGAGAUUGAACAAGGUAUCGGUAUACCGACGAUCGAAUCUCGGGCAAGUAACAUACCGCUAGACAAAGGGAAUUGUAUACGGGAUCAAUUGAGUCCUUGACAUCGUGGUUCAUCCGAUGAGAUCAUCGUGGAACAUGUGGGAGCCAUCAUGGGUAUCCAGAUCCCGCUGUUGGUUAUUGACCGGAGAACGUCUCGGUCAUGUCUGCAUGUCUCCCGAACCCGUAGGGUCUACACACUUAAGGUUCGAUGACGCUAGGGUUAUAAAGGAAGCUUGUAUGUGGUUACCGAAUGUUGUUCGGAGUCCCGGAUGAGAUCCCGGACGUCACGAGGAGUUCCGGAAUGGUCCGGAGGUAAAGAUUUAUAUAUAGGAAGUCCUGUUUCGGCCAUCGGGACAAGUUUCGGGGUCAUCGGUAUUGUACCGGGACCACCGGAAGGGUCCCGGGGGCCCACCGGGUGGGGCCACCUGCCCCGGGGGCCACAUGGGCUGUGGGGGGUGCGCCUUGGCCUACAUGGGCCAAGGGCACCAGCCCCAAGAGGCCCAUGCGCAAGGAAACUUGGGGAGGGAAGAGUCCUAAAGGGGGAAGGCACCUCCGAGGUGCCUUGGGGAGGAUGGACUCCUCCCCAUCCUUAGCCGCACCCCUUCCUUGGAGGAGGGGGCAAGGCUGCGCCCUCCCCCUCUCCCUUGGCCCUAUAUAUAGUGGGGAAAAGGAGGAGCAAUCAGACCUAAGGCCUUUGGUUGCCUCCCUCUCCCUCCCGUGACACAUCUCCUCUCCCGUAGGUGCUCGGCGAAGCCCUGCAGGAUUGCCACGCUCCUCCAUCACCACCACGCCGUUGUGCUGCUGCUGGAUGGAGUCUUCCUCAACCUCUCCCUCUCUCCUUGCUGGAUCAAGGCGUGGGAGACAUCGUCGAGCUGUACGUGUGUUGAACGCGGAGGUGCCGUCCGUUCGGCACUAGGAUCAUCGGUGAUCUGAAUCACGACGAGUACGACUCCAUCAACCCCGUUCACUUGAACGCUUCCGCUUAGCGAUCUACAAGGGUAUGUAGAUGCACUCCCCUUUCUACUCGUUGCUGGUCUCUCCAUAGAUAGAUCUUGGUGUUGCGUAGAAAUUUUUUUGAAUUUCUGCUACGUUACCCAACAGUACAUUCAUCCAAUAUAAUCAUACUUGGACAUGUUACAUUCAGCGGACACAACCCUACUUGCACCUGGUACAUUCAGCGGACGCAACAUACUAAGACCUGGUACGUUUAGCGGACACAACCCUUCUUGAACCUGAUACAUUCAAUAGACACAAUCUUACUUGAAUCUAGUACAUUCACCCGACAGAACCUUACUUGGACCUGGUACAAUCGCCCGAUACAACCAUACAUGGAACCGGUACACUCACCCCACUCAAGCUACUUGGACCCGGUACAUUCUCCCCGCACGACCUUCUCCAUCACCUUGAUGGUCAGGGACAAGGGAAACAAAUUUCCCAGCAGCUUGCGCUGAGGCCACUGAGAACUGAAGCACAUGAAAACCUCCAACCUGUUGGGUAAAUCAAUUUUCUAGUAUUUGUUGAUGAAAAAUAGAUUUUCGUAUUUUAUUCAAAAGUCAAAAUGGCAUUUCUGAUUAAUAUGAAGGAAACAAAAGGCAGUAUAAAAGAUAGACAACUGUACGUAAAAACUAUUGGUAAUAUGAAAAUCCAUUGAAAAUCAAACUAGCCCUCUUCUCCCCCUGAUUGUAGGUCGCACACUGGAGAACGAAAAUUGUAUUGAAUCAACAGUAAAGGAAGUGGGACACCCGCAAGCAUCUUUGCCAUACUAGACUUUGAAGAACGCAAUAGCCACUCACCCCGCCGGGGGAACUGAAACCUAAGGGAAAGAAAACACAACAGACAGGUUCUUACUCCCCUUUUGCGUGACGGGAUCGCCGGACGGGAAAGAGGAGGGGCAUAGAGGCUUUUUAUUUUUCUUUCUAGGGUUCUUUGUGUAAAUUGUAAGGACAGCUGUGUAACCUCUGUGUAACUACACCUACGAUGAAUGAAAGGCAGCACGGCCGUGUCGAAUACAAAAUCUCCGUGAGCUGAACCUAUCUUGGGCUGAUGUUCAUGUGUCCAGCGAGGUGCUCUGAUCGGAUGUCACUUUAAAAAAAGAAAAACAAUUUUUGCCUAUUGUACUUUAGUUUGGAUGACGGCAAAGAAACCGUUUUGACUGACGGCAAAGAACACAUUAUCGUCGUCUGCUAUUUUUGCGGUAGACGGCAAAAUUGUAAUGACCGACGAUAAUAUCUUUGUCGUCAUCCCGAUAAAAGGCUAACGACAAAGUACCCCCUUGCCGCCUAAUCAUUGCUGUCUAACUUCGCUGUCAGCCAGAUCAUUGCCGUCAGUAAUUCGUCCUUUGCUGUUUGUACUUCCCUGACGGCAAAUUAGAUGUUUCUCGUAGUGAAUACUAGGUCCAAGUAAGAUUGUGCGGGCUUAUUGUGUGAGGUUCAAAUAUGAUCGUGCCCGGCGAAUGGAUGUACCAAAGUCCAAAGUAUGUUUGUGUCCAGUAAAUAUAUCAUGUCCAAGUAUGGUUGUGUACCAGAUCUAAGUAUCUUUGUGUUGACUGAAUGUAUCAGGUCAAAAUAUGGUUUGGCUAAAUGUACCACGUCCAAGUACUCAUGUAUGGUGUUGAGGAAGGAUACUAGUUUGUGUUCUCCAGCUAUGGGGCAGCACAAUGGGAUCUUUCUCUGUUGGACGUCGAGGAAUGCGGGAAGCUCAUGCAUGUCAUCGGGGACGUGCCUGAAGGAGGUAGUGCGGCCGUAUAAAUCACGCGAUGCAAACAUGGAGGAAUUGUUGUCAUCAGCAAUCAAAAUAACAUUUCUACCAAGCAAAAUAGAUGCUUUCCCACACCAAACAAAAUUAAGUAAAAUGAAAACGGUUUUUUCAUGUAUGACGUGUCUGAAGGAGGUAGUGUAGCCGUAUGAGUCUCGCAAUGCAAACAUGGAGGAACUGUUGUCAUUUUGCUUGAUUUUUUUAGGCGUCGGGAAAUUAUAUAUUGUUUUUUUUUUAGAAAAGGAGGAUGACCCCCGGCCUCUGCAUCUGGAAGAUGCAUACGGCCACUUUAUUGCUUAUUUCCGAGGACCUUACAAAGUGUUACAACAAUAAGCCUGAAUCCACCAACUAGGCAACAUAUGCCGCUACUCCUAUCCAUAUGAUGAAGGGGUGCUAGCUGGGCCCCUACCCAGACCACUCACCUAAACCUAACAUCGAAAGCCGGAAUCCCCAACCUAGCCACAUACCGGGUCUGGGGUAUAAACCGGUCUGACGCACUCACAAGUGUCGUCUCCACCAUCUUCCACUGGACCAUCUCCAAGCAAAUUGAGGUGCCAUCCUUGGCAGGCCCUCCGCCAUCAACGCCACCAUGAUGCCAAAUGACGACCACCACCUACGGUAGAACAUCACCAAGCAGAUGGAGCGCUACCACAGGAUGAAGAUCAGCGGUAGAAUAAAUAGAUCUCCGCACACAUUGCCGCCGCCAAACACCUCACACGCACCACGAAGCGCCCACCGUGCCUCCGGGGACCCCAGGCGACGCCUUCAAGAAGGAACGCGACGAAGGGACGACGCCGUCGCCCGCAAGGGGAACUAGAGCUUACGCCCAAAUGGAGAGCACAGUGAGAAACGGGAUAGGACCUCGACAAGGCCUCCAAGAAGGGAAUCGACGCCCACAAGGCGCCGCCAUUGUCGUGGCCUCCGCCGACGGCCAAGGGUUUCCCCCGAUCCCGCCCCCGUCCCAACCACCCGGCCAAAGACAGGCCAGGGGAGCGCCCGCAGCCGGAGAAGGCGUCGGACUUCAUCGUAGCAGGCACGCCGGGUGACGGGGCACCCCGACCCACCGUAGUAGUCGUCCACCGAGACCUCGCCGCCCGCACAGCCGAAGUCGCGGACCACCAGCUCCCACGGCCGUCGCCCGUCGAGAGGCCACGCCGUCCACGCCGUCCGAGGCCGCCGCCCCGGUAUCCACCCACCGCGCACAUCUCAUCAAGACACGAAGAACGACCCACAUCGCCGCCACCAGGGAGACCACGCCGCGAGCACCCAAGCCGGGCGACGAAGCAGGGCCGUGCCAGCCAGAUCCGGGCGGAUCCGGCGAUCCUCGGCCCACCAGCCGCCAGAGAGGAGCCAACCCCGAUCCAGGGCGUGCGGCGGCGUCUGAUGCGGGGAAGGGGUGUCUCCACGUCGAGGCGGGUGCGCGGGGAAGCCCUGCCGCCGCCUACUGCCGCGCGGGCGGCUGCCGGCGGCGGCGGGGGAGGAGGAGGGGAGGCGGGGGAGACCUGGGGUGGCUAGGGUUUUCGCCCCCGAGUCGCCCGGAGCGGACGACACGGGGGUACCUCUCUGGUCUGGAAAUUAUAUAUUGUGCUUAGUUGUAGUAUUAUUUUGGCUGAUGUAUGAUUGUGUCAUGUGAAUGUACGAGGCACAAGUAUGUUUGUAUCGGCUAAUUGUACGUGCAUAACAAUGGUUAUGUUGGAUGAAUUACUAGGUACAAGUAUGCUCGUGACUGUUGAUUAUUGUACCAUGUACAGGUAUGACUGCGUCAGUAAAGUGAAGUGUACCAGCUCCAAGCACUGGUGUACUUUAGUGAUCUAAACGCUCUUAUAUUUUAUUAAGGAAGAAGUAUUAGUUUGUAGCUACUCAUGUAACAAGACAUGGACGUAUGAACAGCCGUGCUUUCUGGAUGAUGCCAGAGCUGAGCCAGGAACAUGAGUCAUACAUGAUGGAGCGCGCCUCGAACAAAAUUUCUGCGCGAUGCAUUUGAGCGACGUACAUUAAAAAAAGGAAUCAGGGGUCCUAAGUAGAUGUUAACGUGAACGUGCAGCCUUCCGCGCGUUUUCUCUCCAUCGGCACGCCAACAAUAUGAAUCACUGUAGCAUGCUCUGCGAGGUUCUCUCCUUUAGUGUUCAAAAGUGAGGUCAUGCAAAGAUUCCUGCCAAGCAGCGGUGGCGACUUGCCGAGACUGGCGAUAUGCCGUUUACCUUCUCCCUGAAUCCUUCUGCUUCCUUCGUUCAAUCCUUCUAGAUUCCAUCUCUGCCAUUUCCACCCCUUUUCCUCUUAGUUUCUCAGGUUCUCUUAAUCUCUUUGUCCCUUCUUUCUCCCAUCACAGCUUGUAGAUCUUCAGGUUACUUUCCCUUGCUACAGUACCCACCUGGUUUUCCCCUUUUCUACUGAAACAAUCUUCCAAUCCCUUGAUCUAAGUCGCCGAUUCCGGAGUGGUUUGUAGCGGCAACAGACGAAUAUUGAUGGAUGCGGCGACGGACAUCGAGGGCCCUUUGGAUAGGAGGGGGCGGAUCGAGCACGGCGUGGUUGAUAUUUUCGACUGGGGUAGCUACAAGAAGCAAGCGAUGGAGGUCCUCAAGAAAUCAAAGGACCCCCUUAGUUGUUUGGGGCGGAUGAGAGAAAGGGCAAGAGAAUUCCUUGGGCAUGAUUUUGGAAGGUUGGACAGGUUUUCUGUAAAAGGGGAAAAUAAAUUUGAGCUGGCGGCGAGGCCUUCCGUCAAACUUCAAGGGUCAGGUCCGGGGAAUUCAGUUGAGGAUGAUGCCAAGGAGGAAUUCGUCAGCAGCAAACCAGUUGCGAUCUUAUCCGUGCCAGACAAACUAGUAAUCUCUUGCAUGUAUGGUGCAGUUCUGAAUCUGAAUGAAUAUCAUAGUUCAGACUUUGAAAUGGCUGUUGUCGUGGGUGACAUUCAGGGCAUCUCUGUUCACGGAAUUAGACACCUGAAGUCAGUCAUCCCUGGUAUGCUGCACAUGUCUGCCAUGUUGUGCAAAACUCAUGUUUCGAUUGCUAGGAUUGACCUACCACCAGACCCUGGUCUAUUGUUACUUUUGGAAUGGCACAUUCUUGGAAGGUGUGGUACAGAGGAGGAUAAAAAUAAAGUUUAUUACACAGUCUUAUAUGAGAAGAUGUCAGUCUUCUGUUAUGUUUGUGGCCGUUUGGGGUAUACUUUCUUGGAAAAUGGUAAUGGCAUGCAUGACCAGAAAUGGAUGGUUUGGGAAGAUUGGAUGCUUGCCGUUUGGAUGGAUGAUCGUGCUCGCUUCUCCAACGGUAGAGCUAUGAGUUCAAGUGCUAGAAGUACUUCACUUUCUACAGGAUCGGCGGCCUCCAUCAGGGAGGACCGCCGGGCACAAUGAAUAUCUUAAGUUUGAACUGUCGGGGGUGCGGGCGACCUGAGACAGUUCAAGAAAUUAGCAGUUUGAUUCGGCUGCAUCACCCGUCACUGGUUUUUCUCUCAGAGACCAGGCUGUCUGAUAAGAGAGCUCAGGAUCUGAAGUUUCGCUUGGGGUUCAGUAAUGCGGUUGGCGUAAAGAGCGAGGGGCUAAGUGGAGGCCUUGUCCUCUUUUGGAACAAUGAUUCGGUGGUAUCCCUGAAAUCUUUCAGUCGGACGCACAUUGAUGUGUUUGUGCAAAAUGAAAGCUUGGGGGGUAGAGAAUGGCGCUUUACGGGAUUUUAUGGUGAGCCGGUAAGAACACGAAGAAAAUUAAGCUGGGACCUUAUGAAGUUUCUGCGAAGGGAGUUUAAUAAUCCAUGUUUGAUAGCCGGAGACUUUAAUGAGGUACUUGAUGCUUCCGAACAAUUUGGAGGUAAUGUAAGAGAGGAAUGGAAAAUGGAGGGUUUUCGGGAUGCGGUGGAGUAUUGCCACUUGGAUGAUCUAGGCUAUUCCGGUCUCCCAUUUACUUGGGAUAACAGGCAGCAAGGGUCGAAUAACAUCAAAGUCAGACUUGAUCGUGCUCUAGCUGAUGAGAAAUUUAUGGAAAGAUAUGAUAAUACUAGUGUUAGGGGCUAGGGUUCUGCCCAGUCUUGGCCGUAGGCAGUAGGGAAAGGAGGGGGCUGGGCGUGGCGAUGAGUGGCCGCGCCGGCGUCUGGGCGCCGUCGCGAGAGAGGAGGAUGGCGGCGGCAGCGCAAGAGGCAGGGGGCGGCUAGGGUUCCGGCUCCUCUGGGAGCCGGGCAAUAGAGAUAAUCUUCUUAUUGCUUGAUCUCAAACGAUGUCUUACACGAGUAUUUAUAACUUUAGCCUAAGAUAACUUGCCUAAGAUAACUUGUGGGCCAAGCCCCUAAUACUAAUGCCCGGUGGGCCGCCGGCCAUAACACUUCUCCCCGCCUGCACAAACAGCUCGUCCUUGAGCUGUAAGGUGGGGAAGCGCUUGCGGAACUCCUUGAGGUGAUCAACCAGCGUCAAACACCUUCUCGACAGCUGGGGCGGUCAGGUCGGCGGCGACGACGUCCUCCGAAAUGUAGUCUGCAACCUCCAGGUAGAAGAGUCGCGGGCAGGCAUGGCCGGGCGUGUAGGGCUCGUCGCAGUUGAAGCACAACCCUUGGCGGCGACGCUCGAGGAGCUCUGCUGAGGUGAGCCGGCGGAACGGGCGUCCCGCGGUCGCGGCGAGGGGUGCCGCAGAAGCCUGCGUAGGACGACCCUGCGCGAAAUCCAGCCCGGGUAGCGACCCAGCGGUCCGGGACGGUGAGUCCUGCUGGAUGGCCACCGCGCGGUGCUCGAACGCGCGGGCGUAGUACAUGGCCGACUGGAGAUCCUGGGGUCCGCGAAGCUCCACGUCGACGCGAAUGUGAUCCGGAAGUCCACCGAUGAAGAGGUCGGCCCGCUGCUGCGCCGUUACGCCCGACGCAUGGCACGCCAGGGCCUGGAAACAGUCAGCGAAGUUCUGCACCGUGGAGGUGAAGGGAAGGCGGCCGAGCUCCGCCAAUCGGUUCCCACGCACUGGAGGCCCAAAGUGAAGGAUGCAGAGCUCACGGAAGUGCUCCCAAGAGGGCAUGGAGCCCUCGUCCUGCUCGAGGGCGUAAUACUAGGUCUGUGCCGUGCCGCGGAGGUGGUACGAGGCGAGCCAGGUAUGCUCCGAUGCGAGGGUGCACUGCCCGCGAAAGAACUGGUCGCACUGGUUGAGCCAGUUGAGGGGGUCCUCCGUGCCGUCAUAGGUGGCGAAGUCGAGCUUGGCAAACCGCGGCGGUGUCUGUGCCGGAGCGCCGUGUCGAACUGGCUCGGAGGAGAGGAGCAGCGAGGCGGGUGCGCCUGGUCGGAGUACUCCGGGUAGGGACCAGCGAAACCAGAUGGCCCCCCGAACUGCGGGAACGGAGUUGGCUGUUCGGGGGCUGUGGUGUAGACCGGCGAAGGUGAAGACCCAGCCGCCCACGCUGGAAGUGGCGACGGGGAGGCCGGGAACCGGACCUGAUGAAUCGGGAGGCCGGUUGGCGAUGGUGCCCCCGAGCUAGGCAGGGGCGGCGUCGGUGGUUGUAGCGUCGGCGACGGGGGGUGGACGGGGGCGUCGGUGGCCGCGGGGGAGGGUGGCUGCAAGUACCACAGAGGGGCCGCGGCCGGCGUGGUCCCGCCUGGAAUGGCAGCAGCGGCAGCCCGGUGCAAGCCGGCAUGGAGAACGGCUGCAGUGGUCCGGCGGCCGCCGCCUACGGCAUCUACCGUAGCGGCCAGGGGGCCGCGAACGGCGUCGACCACUGCGGCCAAGGCGGCGUCGAAGCUGCCGGUGGGGGAAGCACCGGGUAGCCGCCGGUGAUGGCCGCCGGUACCGAGUACCACGACAGCGCCUGCUGGCUCGCGGGCGCGGCCGGAUGAAGCGGUGGAGGCGGCCCGUACGGGCUCGCCAAGUAGAGGCGGAUGCCCUGGACCGCGACGACCAGGUCGUUGAGCACGCCGGCCAUGGCCUCCGGUGUGAACUGCGGCGGCGCUGGGGGAGGCGACGGCGGUGGUUGCUGGAUGGGGAUUUGCGGCUGGCCCUGGCCCGACGUAGUGCUGGGUGCGGGGGAGAUCGGCGCCGAGAGGGAGGCCGUGGCGCCCAGCGACGCAGAGGCGGCGUUGGUGGAAUCGGUGGCAGCGGCGGUGGGGGAGGCGUUGGGCAGCGGCGACUGCGGUGGUGGCGGGUUUGGAGGCGAUGAAGACAUGGUCGAAACCCGGGUACCUGAUACCAAGGUGUUAGGGGCUAGGGUUCUGCCCGGUCUUGGCCGUAGGCAGUAGGGGAAGGAGGGGGCUGGGCGUGGCGAUGAGUGGCCGCGCCGGCGGCUGGGCGCCGUCGCGAGAGAGGAGGAUGGCGGCGGCAGCGCAAGAGGCAGGAGCGGCUAGGGUUCCGGCUCCUCUGGGAGCCGGGCAAUAGAGAUAAUCUUCUUAUUGCUUGAUCUCAAACGAUGUCUUACACGAGUAUUUAUAACUUUAGUCUAAGAUAACUUGCCUAAGAUAACUUGUGGGCCAAACCCCUAAUACUAAUGCCCGGUGGGCCGCCGGCCAUAACAACUAGAGUACUUCAUGUUCAGACAACUGAAUCAGACCACUGUGCUCUUUUGAUUGUUAUCAAGCAAUCUGAUUGGAUUGCUGCCGCAGUGAUAGAUAAGCCAUUCUGGUUUGAAAAUGCCUGGAUGAGGCAUCAUACUUAUGAUCAGACAGUGGAGGAGAGUUGGGUGGAUGGUGCGACGGAUAUGGCAUCAGUACAUAGUGCCCUUGCAAAUGUAAGUACUAAACUAAAAAAUGGAGUAAGGAGGAGUUCGGGUCAGUCCCAAGGCAGUUAAAGAUCAUGCGACAGCGACUUGAAAGACUGCGGGCGAAUUCUUUGUAUAUGGGGCCGGUGCCGGAGGAGAAACAACUCAUGCGGCGUAUCUCGGAAAUGUUGUCGAGAGAAGAGGCUAUGGCCAGACAACGUUCAAGGGUGGACUAUCUAAAGGAAGGUGAUCGAAAUACCGGGUUUUUUCAUGCUAGAGCUCGAGAAAGAUUCAGGACAAACAGAAUUAAAGCAUUAAAAGAUUUUGAUGGCACUGUGAAAACACUACAAACGGAGUUGGAGACACUAGCAGUAGAUUUCUAUACCACCUUAUUCACUGCUCAGCCUGACACAGUCCCAGAGGUGGUGACUGAAUGGGUACCCCCGAAGGUAACUGAACAUAUGAAUGAACAACUCUGUGCUCCGGUGACAGAUAUGGAAAUUGAACAAGCAUUAUUUAGUAUGCAUCCCAACAAAUCACCGGGUCCGGAUGGGCUUACUGUAGGUUUUUAUAUAUGUCAUUGGAAUGUGCUGAAGGGUGGCGUUUGUAGAGCAGUUCGUGAUUUUCUAGAGGGAGGGAUGAUGCCUAAUGAGGUGAACAGUACCGUGCUGGUUUUGAUACCCAAAGUCAAAACACCACAAGAGCUAGGACAGUACAGGCCAAUAUCAUUAUGUAAUGUGCUUUACAAGAUUGCAUCGAAAGUUCUGGCUUUACGUCUCCGGCCAAUUUUGGAUGAAAUCAUUGCUGAGGAACAAAGCGCUUUUGUACCUGGACGAUUGAUUACAGAUAAUGUGUUGAUUGCUUAUGAGUCUAUACAUUAUUUAAAGAAGAAGAAAGGUAAAGGCGGUGCUUGUGCUGUCAAGUUAGACAUGGCAAAAGCAUAUGACAGGAUUGAAUGGUUAUACUUGAGAGAGGUUAUGCGUAAAUUGGGCUUCGCAGAACAGUGGAUUGGAAGAAUAAUGGCUUGCGUUGAAACUGUAAAAUUUUCAGUUAGGGUGAAUGGACAUCUUUCGGAAUUCUUUACACCUACCCGAGGUAUUAGACAAGGUGAUCCUUUGUCACCUUAUCUCUUCUUGUUGUGUGCAGAAGGUCUCAGCAGCCUUCUAAAAUUCAAAGGGCCGUCUAAUCUUGCAAAAGGGAUAAGGGUGGGUAUCCAUGCACCUUGGAUAUCACAUUUACUGUUCGCAGACGACUGCAUGAUUUUCUCGCAGGCUACAACACAGGGUGCUCAGCGGUUACAGGAGAUUUUGGAACUUUAUAGAGUAGGCUCCGGCCAGCUGGUGAAUAGAAGUAAGUCUGCCAUUUUCUUUAGUGGCAACUGUUCGGUAGAAGGGAAAUUGGCUUUCCAGGAAGGAGUGGCAAUUCAAACUGAAGCUUUGGCAGAAAAGUACCUAGACUUACCCACAGCCCUAGGUAGAUCUAUAGAGGAGAAUUUUGAGCAUAUUGCAAACAGUAUAAAGAAACCGGUUAAUGGUUGGGCGCCGAAACUAAUGAAUAGUGCGGCUAGAGAGGUCUUAAUAAAGUCAAUCUGCCAAGCUAUUCCGACAUACUCCAUGAGUUGUUUCAAAUUGUCAAAGAAAACAUGUAAAAAAAUUAUGAGCAUUGUGGCUACAUACUGGUGGGGAGGAGAUGAGAAUAAGAGGAAGAUGCACUGGAAGAAAUGGCAGGAUAUAGCGAUACCCAAAUGUGUUGGGGGAAUGGGUUUUCGGGAUUUCCAGAUGUUUAAUAAAGCAAUGUUGGCUAAACAAAGAUGGAGACUUAUAUCUAAUCCAGAUAGUCUGUGUGCCAAAGUCUCAAGAGGGAAGUACUAUAAUGGUUUGGAAUUCAUGUCAGCAAUAAAAAGGAGGGGUUCAUCUCAUACUUGGAGGGCCAUUUUAUUUGGCAGAGAGGCCCUAAAAUUGGGUCUUAUCAAAAGGAUGGGUGAUGGGGAUACCAUAAAUGUGUGGGAGGAUCCAUGGAUCCCUUCCAAUAAUUCUUACAAGGCUAUUUUAAAGCCCAUGUAUGCUACUGCCAAUCAUGCUUCUGAACUACUUGUUGAGAAUCAGAAAGACUGGGAUGUGCAAAAGGUGAGAGCAAACUUCAUAGGUAUUGAUGCAGAGGCAAUUUUACGAAUCCCAAUUAGUGUGGGGGAAGAUUUUUGGGCAUGGCAGCCAGAUAACAGAGGUCUAUAUUCAGUUCGCUCAGCAUACAAACAGUUGAUUGAAGCUUAUGGGCGGACAGAUCAAGCAACUGGUUCUGACAAUGGUUAUCUAAAUGCUUGGAACAAGUUAUGGCAAUUAGAGGUACCACCAAAAGUCAGGUGCUUCUGGUGGAGAGUGAUCCAUGAUUUUGUACCAUGCCGAGCUGUUCUUAGGAACCGCCAUGUGGAGCAGGCUGCUUUUUGUGAGGAUUGUGGGGAGGAAGAAACCACACACCAUGCCCUGUUCAGAUGCACUUGGGCGAGAAUGUUCUGGGAACAAAUCAAAAAGAGGACAGGGGUUAAACUUCCCAACUUGCAUCCUGAGUCAUGGCCACUGGACAUAAUUGAAGGAACUACUAUAGACCAAUGCUCUGCCUGCAUCAUCUUAUGUGGGGCUUGGGCGGUAUGGACUGAGAGAAAUGCCAGACAUCAUGGAGAACAAACUAGAAAGAUUGCAAAAUCAGUACGAUGGACAGUUGACACUGCUGCUGAUCUAGCUCAGCUAGGAACGAAACAGCAGAAGCCUACUGUUAAGGUGCAAGAAAGAUGGAAGCCACCUGAUGAAAGUGUACUAAAAAUUAAUGUGGAUGCUCAUUUCCUGGAAGUUCAUGGAUAUGGUGGUACAUGCCUGGUUGUCCGAGACGUACGGGGUCAUCUCAUCAGGGCACAGGCUUUGUGGUAUGAUUAUGCAUCUACAGCCAGAUUGAUGGAGGCAUAUGCAAUCCGAGAUGCAGUCAAGCUGGCUGCAGAUAUGGGCUGGCGCAAGAUCGUUGUUGAAAGUGAUGCCUUGGAAGUUGUUAAGCUAUGGAACUCUCAAGAAUUUGAUAGAGCUGAUACCAAGGGACCUCUACAGGAGGUGAAGGAGCUAUGCAGGAACUUCACUAGUUUCAAUAUUUAUUUUGUAAGGAGAGAAGCCAAUAUGGCUGCUCAUUUAUGUGCUAAUCAGGCUAGUCAGGUUCGUAGGAGAUGCCUCUGGAUAAAUUUUAUCCCAGUUUUUCUCCACGAUUGUAUUACCCGCGAAUGUAUUACCUUCGAGUAAUCAAUAUAGCUCCUGAAUUGCAAAAAAAAAACAAAGAUUCCUGCCAAAGGAAGAUUCCAGCCAAAAGGUCUGUUGACACCGUCCCAAUAAGGGUAAAGUAGUAGGAGUAUAGUUCCGUGGGUGCAUGCGUCGCGUACAGCCUACGCAUGGUCGAUAUAGCCAUAUAGGUAGCUACAAAUAUGAGUAUGUGUCUUGGUUCUUCUUUGAUAUGACAGUAGGUGUCUUGGUUCUUCUCUGACAGGAAAACGCACUUAUACAGGAUUCAGGAGCUCUGAUUAGAAGGAAAACAUGUUGAAUUAGAUGAAGAAUGUGGGAAUUCUUGUUUUUAGUGCACAAAAAAGAAGAUGAAAGAUGCAGCUAAUUGUGUAGUGAUCAAAUUGUAGAUGCUGACAUGUUUUUAUCGAGAGGAUCUAGUGUUUACAGGAUCAGUAUAGAAUGCAUUUUUUUCUAUAUGAAAUAUGCAUGGAUGUUUUGAAAGGAGGUCUAUGUACUUGUUUGAUUAUUAUAAAGAAUUCAAAUAUGUGAUUGUUCCCCUAAUUCUUUUCAAAAAUAAAAGAUGAAAUACCGUGUAAUCUGGAAAUAAAGAGAAAAAUUUCUGAAAUUCUCUGAUUCCACUGAAAAAUCAGUGAAGGACAUUGCAAGCCAGAAUAAGAUCCAGUACAUUAAAAUUUUCAGUUCAUACAUACACCAAAAUCCAUCCAAAUAAAAUCAGAAAUUCUCUGAAUUUUUAGUGUACCACAUACACCACUAGUAUGCAAAUAACUUAACUAAUUACUUUGAGCUGAAAAAUAAGUCAACUAAUAAGGACCACCUCCAGCACAGAAACUUCCUACCUGACCAAAGAAUCACCGCCAGACUCAAUAUCAAUCACCUCUACUGUCUUGGUGGAAUCAUCAUUGGAAUUGUUCUCUCUUGCAGAAGAGGGGUCAUUUUCAAUAUUUUCACAUAUACACGUAGCCCGGUUGUCAUAGAAUCGCCUCUUUCCAGCACGACUUCCAUGGCAUCUCCCGUAGGUCCUUUCUGAAUUACUUGCACCUGUGCCCAGCAUUCAUCCCAUGACAUAUCUCCCCUGUUUAUAAAUAAGCUGUAGAGUUGUUUAACAUUUUCUUGUGGCCAAUAUAUCUCGUGCGAAAAACAGUUUCAUAAUUUAGAAUGAACUAAGACGAGCACGAAUGUAUAUAGUGAACAAGGAUGUGCAACAACAAGUAUUCUGUCCAUGUUGCAAUUAUUUUCAGAAUCAGUUCCAUCAUAGAUAAAAUCAAUUGAAGUCACGAGAGAUGAGUAUGAAACACAUAAUGCAAACCGACUAAGAUAACCGAAGAUCACAUCGUAACUAACGUAAGAAGCAAAUGGGCAUUUGACUACUAUAAAUCAGAGCAAAAGUGUCAGGGGCAUGCUUGCCUUGGGAGUUCAGCAGACACCUCUCCAUAGAGGUUACUUUGCUUGGCACUGCCCUCGCCGUAAGCCCGUCACGGGAUCGGUAACUGCUUGUACGAGUACUAGUAAUAACACCAAGAAUCAUCAUAGCAUUCCGCUACAUUACAUUCAGAAGGAAAGAAUUAUUGCAUUAAUGCAUAAGCCAUUUAGAGCGGCACUGACUACUUCUGUACCAACCAUGCCAAUCGAGAUUGAGAGAUUUAGGGAACUCGAAUCCAGAUAUGAACUGCAAACCUGCGUUUCCAUCCUCCAGCCGACUGAUAUGAACUAGAAUUGCACAGAGAUACAGCUCCCUGGAUCAACACCUGCGUUUCUAUCCACCACCCAGUGGUUAUGUACAAGACUUUGAAUCGCCAUGGCCGGACUUGGGGUGCAUCAGUUGUUCGUAUGUCAGGAGAAAUCAGAACGGAUGAACUAGGAGUACCAUCCACCACAUUGGAUCUUGGAAAAGGAUUCGGCAUAACAGAUCAGAUGAGAACCGAGGUAUAUUCACAUUAGUUCAUAUGGAGAAUGGCGACGAACUAACCUGGAACUUGAAUCGAGAUCCAGAUCAGCAGCGAUAGAUUCGAUAAUAUCGAUUCCAGGAGUGCGACGGGAUUUGCUAUUCCUCCCAUAAGAGGUCCA
rnacentral:lncRNA from 1 species